rnacentral:tRNA from 3 species
GCGGGUGUGGUCUAAUGGCAGAAUGCGACCUUCCCAAGGUCGAGACGGGGGUUCGAUUCCCCUCACCCGCUCAA